GUCGAGCGCGGGAAGCCUAACUGAAUCCUUCGGGAGGACGUUAGUGGAACGAGCGGCGGACGGGUGAGUAACACGUGGGUAACCUGCCUGUAAGACUGGGAUAACUCCGGGAAACCGGGGCUAAUACCGGAUAACACCUCGGAUCGCAUGAUCCGAAGUUGAAAGAUGGUUCUGCUAUCACUUACAGAUGGACCCGCGGCGCAUUAGCUAGUUGGUGAGGUAGUGGCUCACCAAGGCAACGAUGCGUAGCCGACCUGAGAGGGUGAACGGCCACACUGGGACUGAGACACGGCCCAGACUCCUACGGGAGGCAGCAGUAGGGAAUCUUCCGCAAUGGACGAAAGUCUGACGGAGCAACGCCGCGUGAACGAUGAAGGCCUUCGGGUCGUAAAGUUCUGUUGUUAGGGAAGAACAAGUACCAGAGUAACUGCUGGUACCUUGACGGUACCUAACCAGAAAGCCACGGCUAACUACGUGCCAGCAGCCGCGGUAAU
rnacentral:rRNA from 1 species